GGGAAUACCAGCUCAACGACUCAGCUGCCUACUACCUGAACGACCUGGAGCGUAUUGCACAGAGUGACUACAUCCCCACACAGCAAGAUGUGCUACGGACCCGCGUAAAGACCACGGGGAUCGUGGAGACACACUUCACCUUCAAGGACCUACACUUCAAGUGAGCGAGCAUGUGGACAGGUGGGAGGGGCAGGACCUGCCAGCCUCUGGGGUAGCAGAGGCAGGGGCUGGUCCAGGAUCCCCCAGCCCCACUGAGGUUUUACAAGGCUCAUGUGUUCUGGGCAAGCACAUCCUCACCACCUAGUGAACCAGCAGUCAGGAUCCACGCCACCUCUGCCAGCUGCUCACAGCCUCUGCUGCUCCUGCCUGAUGUGGCUGCAGCCUGCCUGCUGUCCAAGCUCCUGGCCCAGAACCAGGGGUGAAGUGGGCAAGUGUGGAUGAUUCCAGAAGGUAGCUGCCCUACUCUGGGCAGGCCUCUGUCCUCAGUCAGCCAACCUGAGAAAUGGGGUAGAAAGCCUCCCCCAGGCUCCC
rnacentral:lncRNA from 1 species